rnacentral:rRNA from 1 species
UGCCAGCAGCCGCGGUAAUACAGAGGGUGCAAGCGUUAAUCGGAAUUACUGGGCGUAAAGCGCGCGUAGGUGGUUUAUUAAGUCAGAUGUGAAAGCCCCGGGCUCAACCUGGGAACUGCAUCUGAUACUGGUUCACUAGAGUAUGGUAGAGGGAAGUGGAAUUUCCGGUGUAGCGGUGAAAUGCGUAGAUAUCGGAAGGAACACCAGUGGCGAAGGCGACUUCCUGGACCAAUACUGACACUGAGGCGCGAAAGCGUGGGGAGCAAACAGGAUUAGAUA